CUCUACAGUGCCCCAUUCGUUGCUGUCUUCACAGAUGGAUUCUCAUCUUCCGUAUUCUUGCUGACUACAGGUUUGAAGCAUGGUUCUUGGUAUUGGUCAAGAUGUGGGUGCUCCCACUGCCUGGAUCUCUGUGUAACUAUAGUAAUCUGUCUUUUCUAUCUGGUUGCUUCAAAGAUUUGGUCUUUGUCUUUGGUGCUCUGCAAAUUCACAACAAUAUGGGCAGUCACCCACUGUAAUCAGGAGUCAAGACCAAAAAUCAGAGAGAGAAUUGGAAGCAUGAUCCUCACCACAUGUUAGUGGAAGAGUAAAGAAGGAAGCCAAAAUUGAAUCACCAAAGCUCAACCUGAAUUUGGCCAUCAGCCUCUAACA